UUGUCUGUUUGGGUCAGAUCCCCUUCUAUUAGUGUCAGAUCAUCACUCGAAUGCUCAAAAACUUCAGUCUCUACAAGUUUGACUACAUUACAAAUACUAGCUAUUUAACUCAACCAUUGA
rfam:Populus trichocarpa scaffold_13_contig_311, whole genome shotgun sequence.